UGGGGAAUUUUGGACAAUGGGCGAAAGCCUGAUCCAGCAAUGCCGCGUGUGUGAAGAAGGCCUUCGGGUUGUAAAGCACUUUUGUCCGGAAAGAAAUCCUUGGCUCUAAUACAGUCGGGGGAUGACGGUACCGGAAGAAUAAGCACCGGCUAACUACGUGCCAGCAGCCGCGGUAAUACGUAGGGUGCAAGCGUUAAUCGGAAUUACUGGGCGUAAAGCGUGCGCAGGCGGUUUGCUAAGACCGAUGUGAAAUCCCCGGGCUCAACCUGGGAACUGCAUUGGUGACUGGCAGGCUAGAGUAUGGCAGAGGGGGGUAGAAUUCCACGUGUAGCAGUGAAAUGCGUAGAGAUGUGGAGGAAUACCGAUGGCGAAGGCAGCCCCCUGGGCCAAUACUGACGCUCAUGCACGAAAGCGUGGGGAGCAAACAGGAUUAGAUACCCUGGUAGUCCACGCCCUAAACGAUGUCAACUAGUUGUUGGGGAUUCAUUUCCUUAGUAACGUAGCUAACGCGUGAAGUUGACCGCCUGGGGAGUACGGUCGCAAGAUUAAAACUUAAAUGAAUUGACGGGGUCAUAGCUGUUUCUU
rnacentral:rRNA from 1 species